CAGGUGUGCUGUGUGUCAGUCUCCAACCCAUGAUCCCACAUAUCAGAAAUGAAUCAUUCUUGUAAUUGAGCAGCAAGCUGGGAAUCUCUCUCCAUUCUUUAAUUAAUCUGGUCCAUUGAUUAGAAUAAUUUUUUUGGAAGCUCUGGAAGCUUUUGGGUCAGACUCUUGGAGUUUAAGAUGUCAGCCUCUAUGCCCUACAGAAAACUUGGAAAUGAAGAAGUUUAUUUGUGGAUAGAAAGGUGAUGGGAAGAGGUGUGGAUUAGUCAGACUUCAGUGACUAUUUUUGGGAAAAGAUAUGAAGUUAAGAGAUAGCUCUGAGGAGCUGGACAGGAGAGAUUGAGAUGUCUGUACAUUCAGGCCUGUGGGAGGACCGCCAAAGAAUCAUUACUCAUUUUCAAGAUGAAAAUGCUAAGUGUCAGGAUUGGAUGCGAUUUUUGAGUCUGAGCACCAAGAUUACCUCUGCCGUAAAGAGGGCUUACUCAGUAUUCUCUCUGGAGCAAUGUCUGACAGAUAUUAAUCCAGUGGGCUGGCAGUGUUACAGAUAACUGAAUGGAUUCGAGGCCACCCAGGAAUGGCACCUGACAGGAGCUCAUUCAUCACUUUCAUUUCAGAGCUCUCCAAGGAACAUCUAGCAUCAAAAAGGCUAUUACAGGCUGGGGAGCAGCUCAGUGGAGCAGG